rnacentral:rRNA from 1 species
UACAGAGGUCCCAAGCGUUGUUCGGAUUCACUGGGCGUAAAGGGUGCGUAGGCGGUCGGGUAAGUCUGAUGUGAAAUCUCACAGCUUAACUGUGAAACUGCAUUGGAUACUAUUCGGCUUGAGAGUUGGAGGGGGGACUGGAAUUCUUGGUGUAGCAGUGAAAUGCGUAGAUAUCAAGAGGAACACCAGUGGCGAAGGCGAGUCCCCUGGACAACUUCUGACGCUGAGGCACGAAAGCUAGGGGAGCAAACAGG